UUGACCUCAGAUCGGGUGAGACUACCCGCUGAACUUAAGCAUAUCAUAAGCGGAGGAAAGAACUAACAAGGAUUCCCCUAGUAACUGCGAGU
rnacentral:rRNA from 1 species